UGGCUUAGGGCCUGAGGUUAUAACUAGGGUUAAGACAUUCUUAGGGUCUUAUGGUCUGAGUUUAUAACUGGGGUUGAAGCUGUCGUUUGGUCUGAGUUUAUAACUGGGGUUGAAGCUGUCGUAUGGUCUGAGUUUAUAACUGGGGUUGAAGCUGUCUCAUGGUCUGAGGUUAUAACUAGGGUUGAAGCCAUCUUAUGAGGUUAUAACUAGGGUUGAGGAUGUCUUAUGGUCUGAGUUUAUAACUGGGGUUGAAGCUGUUUUGUGGUCUGAGUUUAUAACUGGGGUUGAAGCUGUCUCAUGGUCUGAGGUUAUAACUAGGGUUGAAGCCAUCUUAUGAGGUGAUAACUAGGGUUGAGGAUGUCUUAUGGUCUGAGGUUAUAACUAGGGUUGAAGCCAUCUUAUUGUCUGAGGUUACAACUGGAGUUGAAGCUGUCAUAUGGUCUGAGUUUAUAAUUGGGGUUGAAGCUGUCUUAUGGUCUGAGUUUAUAACUGGGGUUGAAGCUGUCUUAUGGUCUGAGGAUAUAACUAGGGUUGAAGCCGUCUUAUGGUCUGAGGAUAUAACUAGGGUUGAAGCCGUCUUAUAGUCUGAGGUUAUAACUAGGGUUGAAGCUGUCUUAUGGUCUGAGGUUUGAACUAGGGUUGACGCUGUCGUAUGGUCUGAGGUUAUAACUAGGGUUGAAGCUGUCUUAGGGUAUGAGGUUAUAACUUGGGUUGAGGAUGUCUUAUAGUCUGAGGUUAUAACUUGGGUUGAGGAUGUCUUAUGGUCUGAGGUUAUAACUUUGGUUGAGGAUGUCUUGUAGUCUGAGGUUAUAACUUGGGUUGAGGAUGUCUUAUGGUCUGAGGUUAUAACUUUGGUUGAGGAUGUCUUGUAGUCUGAGGUUAUAACUUGGGUUGAGGAUGUCUUGUGGUCUGAGGUUAUAACUUUGGUUGAGGAUGUCUUGUAGUCUGAGGUUAUAACUUGGGUUGAGGAUGUCUUGUGGUCUGAGGUUAUAACUAGGGUUGAGGCUGUCUUGGAGGCUGGAGGUUUGGGGUCUUGUGCCAGGGUGUUGUUAUUAUUGGUGAAUCCUCCCCAUCUUAUCUCUUUUACCCACGUUUCU
ensembl:lncRNA